CUACGGGAGGCAGCAGUGGGGAAUUUUCCGCAAUGGGCGAAAGCCUGACGGAGCAAUACCGCGUGAGGGAAGACGGCCUAUGGGUUGUAAACCUCUUUUUUCAGGGAGGAAUUUUGACGUGUACCUGAAGAAUAAGCAUCGGCUAACUCCGUGCCAGCAGCCGCGGUAAGACGGAGGAUGCAAGUGUUAUCCGGAAUCACUGGGCGUAAAGCGUCUGUAGGUGGUUGAACAAGUCAACUGUUAAAUCUUGAGGCUCAACUUCAAAAUCGCAGUCGAAACUGUUUGACUAGAGUAUAGUAGGGGUAAAGGGAAUUUCCAGUGGAGCGGUGAAAUGCGUAGAUAUCGGAAAGAACACCGAUGGCGAAGGCACUUUACUGGGCUAUUACUGACACUCAGAGACGAAAGCUAGGGUAGCAAAUGGGAUUAGAUACCCCAGUAGUCCUAGCCGCAAACUAUGGAUACUAGAUGUUGAACAGAUCGACCUGUGCAGUAUCAAAGCUAACGCGUUAAGUAUCCCGCCUGGGAAGUAUGCUCGCAAGAGUGAAACUCAAAG
rnacentral:rRNA from 1 species